UACGGAGGAUCCAAGCGUUAUCCGGAAUCAUUGGGUUUAAAGGGUCCGUAGGCGGUUUAAUAAGUCAGUGGUGAAAUCCCGUCGCUUAACGAUGGAACUGCCAUUGAUACUGUUAGACUUGAAUUACUGGGAAGUAACUAGAAUAUGUAGUGUAGCGGUGAAAUGCUUAGAUAUUACAUGGAAUACCAAUUGCGAAGGCAGGUUACUACCAGUGGAUUGACGCUGAGGGACGAAAGCGUGGGGAGCGAAC
rnacentral:rRNA from 1 species